UGGCCACUAUACUGGGCUAUUGUUACAGUUUGACUUUGCAUCAAAUGUAUCACGUCAGCAAUCCUUUGUUGUUCAUGAUUAUAAUGCAAACAAAAGAACAAUUAUGCAUAAUUCAUUUGUAUUUGUACAUCGAUAUCCCCACCUAUUGCUUGAUGGCUAUGGUUGGAUAUUGUGCUGCUCAUGUGAUGCAAAUAGAAAGCAAUUUGUUGAAGCCCUACCUAAUAAUAUACAAUUAGAUCCUCAAAAAGGUAUGUAAAAUAGAUGUUACUGAAAUGAAAUGAUUAAAACAGGCCAAACAACAUUUUUGUACUUGUCAGAUAUACCAUAUCCUAGUUGCAUACACAUAUUAGCAAUGGAAAAAAUAUCUGGUUGUGUAUGAUAGAAAGUUUGGUUUUGAAGCUAAAGAUUAUAUUGAAAAAAGUAAAAUGCAGAAUCCACAUCCAUGAUGCAGUCUGUUUUCAGUGAUCAUUCCUACCAUGAGAUGCAACCUGAAGAAAUAUGUUUUGUUAUGUGAAAAUAACUUUUUUGUACAAAUACACGUAUUGUUUCUCAACCUUCUAAUACCCCACAAUUUGUUACCAUACAUCCUGUGCCUAAGUUCAGGAGCUUCUAUAAAGCUUUUAGGGUGAUAA